rnacentral:rRNA from 1 species
UCAGGACGAACGCUGGCGGCGUGCUUAACACAUGCAAGUUGAACGGGACGGAUAUUGAAGCGACUUUCGGAGUGGUGGAUAUAUUGUUUAGUAGCGGACGGGUGAGUAAUGCAUGAGAACCUGCCCUUCAGAGGGGGACAACAGUUGGAAACGGCUGCUAAUACCCCAUAUGCCGAGAGGUGAAAGGAGCGAUCCGCUGAAGGAGUGGCUCAUGUCCUAUCAGCUAGUUGGUGAGGUAAGUGCUCACCAAGGCGAUGACGGGUAGCCGGCCUGAGAGGGCGACCGGCCACACUGGAACUGAGAUACGGUCCAGACUCCUACGGGAGGCAGCAGUGGGGAAUAUUGGGCAAUGGGCGGAAGCCUUGACCCAGCGACGCCGCGUGAGGGAAGAAGGCCUUUGGGUCGUAAACCUCUGUUGUAUGGGAAGAAGGAAGUGACGGUACCAUACGAGGAAGUCCCGGCUAACUACGUGCCAGCAGCAGC